rnacentral:lncRNA from 1 species
UGCAAAGAAGCACCUCAAAGGCGUGGGCAGGCGUGGGCAGGUGUGGGCAGGCGUGGGCAGGCGUGGGCAGGCGUGGGCAGGUGUGGGCAGGUGUGGGCAGGCAUGUGGGCACGGCACAGGGCUUGUCCAGGCCAGAUGCCAUUAAGCACAGGUAUCUGUGGUGGGCAGGGGACACAGUGGAAGCAGAUAGAGAAGGUUUGCUGGGGUCCCAUGGAGGGGCGCCUUGUAGGCCAUGGUCACUCUAGGCUGAUGCAAGGUGCUCAAGGUUGAAGGCAGAGGUGACUGACCUGUGCUUGAGAGAGGGUAGGGAAGAGAAGCUGCCGGACUUGAGGGGCUGAAAUUGUCCUGUAAUAGUCCAGGUCAGGAGUGUUAAUGAUGCCCCAGCUCGGGCAGUGACUACGGCAAGGAGAGUUUAACAUGUGGUUCAGUUCAGCAGACAUGGGGAACUCACUAUGUGUGAAGCAGGACACAUCACGGAGGCAGCCCUCAAAUGCUUGAAGACAGUAAUCCUGCCCCUGUGCUGUGGCGGGUUCUUUAAGGGGUGUGACUUCCUCAUCAGACCCAUUGCUCUCACACCUAAUGAUGCUGCCAUGUGGCAGGGCUGUGGGCAGAGCCAUGCCCUAGCAGGGGAAGUGGAGGACAGCGGCGGGGAGGGAGUGUGGGCAGGGCUUUCCUGCCCUCUGGGUCCUCUCCUCUCUUUCGUGGCAGGGCCUUGAGGUCCAUUCGCUGGGCUGCACAGAAGGAGGACUCCAGAGCCCCCCUUGGGUUCAGGAUUUUAUACACGCAGCAUUCCAGACAGAUGGACCCGUGUAUUGACAAUGAAAGCAUGGGAGAACUGUAUUUCUUUGGUGAUUAAAGUAAAUGCAAAAGUUAUGAUGCAUUAUCAGGAGAUCCUGCUUCCCUCUCUCCUAGGAGAGUGCCUUCUGGGAAUCAUAGAGUUGUCUUGGCACAGAACCAAUCAUGAGAGACCAAUCGUGAGAGACAAUAGGAGGAUAUUGUGCUGACUCCACAGGGGGCCCUGGUUGGCACCGAGAGGCCGUCUGGGUAUGCUGUGGUCUGGUCAA